AACGAACGCUGGCGGCAGGCUUAACACAUGCAAGUCGAACGGGUGUAGCAAUACACCAGUGGCAGACGGGUGAGUAACACGUGGGAACCUUCCUAGGGGUACGGAACAACUCAGGGAAACUUGAGCUAAUACCGUAUACGUCCGUAAGGAGAAAGAUUCAUCGCCCCUAGACGGGCCCGCGUCGGAUUAGGUAGGUUGGUGGGGUAACGGCCUACCAAGCCUACGAUCCGUAGCUGAUCUGAGAGGANGAUCAGCCACACUGGGACUGAGACACGGCCCAGACUCCUACGGGAGGCAGCAGUGGGGAAUCUUGGACAAUGGGCGCAAGCCUGAUCCAGCCAUGCCGCGUGAGUGAAGAAGGCCUUAGGGUU
rnacentral:rRNA from 1 species